ACAAGUUUGGCCAUAUGUGGAAGAUUAUUGAAGCUGGAACAUGAUUACAUGGGAGUUUAUUGUACUCAUCCCUCUCUUUUGUAUAUGAGUGGCAAAAUAUUGAGGGAAGAACACAGAAGAAUACAGAGAUGAAAAAGAAAGAUCAGAAAAUGUACUUCAAGACUCUACAUUCUCAUGACCACUGGGAACUCACUUCAGGAGAUUCAGCUUCAGUUUGUGUUUUAACUUCUGAAUCUGGAACAGAUUUCACCUUUUCUUUGACUCCAUUAGGACUUCCUGAUACAAUGACAGGGUAUCUAUGUUAAGUAGGCAAGUGAAGUGGAAAACUGAGCUUAUUCUGAAUAUUGUAUUCCCCUUGAGAGUUUGGAGAGGUCAAUAUCAGAGUUAAGAAGUAGAAGAUACUGCAUUUGAGGACUGCUCAUUGGUUUAAAACUUCACUCUUUUAAUUUUGCUGUGUGGGGUACGUAUUUUCACUAUGUCCAUACACACCAAACAUGUCCUCAUCGUAGGGCCUUUUCCUCAGCCCUUUCCUCUGUCUAGAAUGCUUUUCCCCCAGAUAACCGCGGAUCCACCUUCCUCACCUCCAUCAAGGCUUUGCUCCGAUACCAUCUUCUCAAUUAGACCUAGGCUGAGAUUCCUCUUUAAAAUUGCUUACUGGUCCCCGCUCUACACUCUGUGGACCAACUUAUCCUGGUUAGCCUGGGACUUUCCUGGUUUUAACAUUGCAAGUCCCACAUCCCAGGAACCCCCUCAUCUAA